GUGUAGCCACCAACUUUGGUGGUUUCAGUUGGGCAGUGAGGGACCAUAAGCGGAAGCACCGGGUGCAAUCGUAGGGUUUCUUUCAUCACUGCAUGCAAGUAAGGUAACUUAUGAAUAUGAGACUCUUCUACUAAGUUAUCUUUUCCAACUACAAUUUCUAACUCCUCUUGAACCUUCCUCAGCACUUCUGGAUUGUUCAUCAUUUCUGCCAUUGCAAACUCAAUUGUGUUGGAGGAUGUGUCUGAUCCACCCACUACCAUGUCCUGUUCGCAAUCAUCACA
rnacentral:lncRNA from 1 species